rnacentral:sRNA from 1 species
GUAAAGGGAUCCUGGUCCUGAAAGACCGGGCUUUCAACCCGCGUGGUUGAGGGCCGCCUUUACCAGACCCAGCCAUCACCCAUGAGGAGGUGACCUCGAUGGCUACGUUCCGCACAGGACGAAAGGCCCACCCUGGCGUGCUUCCUCAGCGCCAGGCCCUGGAAUCCGCGCCAGCUGACACUCCCCGGAUCGGGAACGAAACAGGGCACGGAGACCACCGGCAGGUGGUACCCGGUGCGGAACAUGGUCGAGGGGAGACCGGUACCG